rnacentral:rRNA from 1 species
GACGAACGCUGGCGGCGUGCCUAAUACAUGCAAGUAGAACGCUGAAGAGAGGAGCUUACUCUUCUUGGAUGAGUUGCGAACGGGUGAGUAACGCGUAGGUAACCUGCCUUGUAGCGGGGGAUAACUAUUGGAAACGAUAGCUAAUACCGCAUAACAAUGGAUGACACAUGUCCUUUAUUUGAAAGGGGCAAUUGCUCCACUACAAGAUGGACCUGCGUUGUAUUAGCUAGUAGGUGAGGUAAUGGCUCACCUAGGCGACGAUACAUAGCCGACCUGAGAGGGUGAUCGGCCACACUGGGACUGAGACACGGCCCAGACUCCUACGGGAGGCAGCAGUAGGGAAUCUUCGGCAAUGGGGGCAACCCUGACCGAGCAACGCCGCGUGAGUGAAGAAGGUUUUCGGAUCGUAAAGCUCUGUUGUAAGUCAAGAACGGGUGUGAGAGUGGAAAGUUCACACUGUGACGGUAGCUUACCAGAAAGGGACGGCUAACUACGUG